rnacentral:rRNA from 2 species
CAGCUAAGGUCCCAAAGUCAUGGUUAAGUGGGAAACGAUGUGGGAAGGCCCAGACAGCCAGGAUGUUGGCUUAGAAGCAGCCAUCAUUUAAAGAAAGCGUAAUAGCUCACUGGUCGAGUCGGCCUGCGCGGAAGAUGUAACGGGGCUAAACCAUGCACCGAAGCUGCGGCAGCGACACUGUGUGUUGUUGGGUAGGGGAGCGUUCUGUAAGCCUGUGAAGGUGUGUCGUGAGGCAUGCUGGAGGUAUCAGAAGUGCGAAUGCUGACAUAAGUAACGAUAAAGCGGGUGAAAAGCCCGCUCGCCGGAAGACCAAGGGUUCCUGUCCAACGCUAAUCGGGGCAGGGUGAGUCGACCCCUAAGGCGAGGCCGAAAGGCGUAGUCGAUGGGAAACGGGUUAAUAUUCCCGUACUUGGUGUUACUGCGAAGGGGGGACGGAGAAGGCUAUGUUGGCCGGGCGACGGUUGUCCCGGUUUAAGCGUGUAGGUGUGUGUUCCAGGUAAAUCCGG